GAUGAACGCUGGCGGCGUGCCUAAUACAUGUAAGUCGAGCGAACAGACGAGGAGCUUGCUCCUCUGAUGUUAGCGGCGGACGGGUGAGUAACACGUGGAUAACCUACCUAUAAGACUGGGAUAACUUCGGGAAACCGGAGCUAAUACCGGAUAACAUGUUGAACCGCAUGGUUCAACAGUGAAAGACGGUCUUGCUGUCACUUAUAGAUGGAUCCGCGCCGCAUUAGCUAGUUGGUAAGGUAACGGCUUACCAAGGCAACGAUGCGUAGCCGACCUGAGAGGGUGAUCGGCCACACUGGAACUGAGACACGGUCCAGACUCCUACGGGAGGCAGCAGUAGGGAAUCUUCCGCAAUGGGCGAAAGCCUGACGGAGCAACGCCGCGUGAGUGAAGAAGGUCUUCGGAUCGUAAAACUCUGUUAUUAGGGAAGAACAAAUGUGUAAGUAACUAUGCACGUCUUGACGGUACCUAAUCAGAAAGCCACGGCUAACUACGUG
rnacentral:rRNA from 1 species